rnacentral:lncRNA from 1 species
GUCUUUUACAUGCAUCGUUGGAUUGCAGUCUCAAGCCUGGGAUUCCAACGGAAUUAACGUCCAUUGAAAACUUACUGUGCUCAAGGCACAGAACGGGGUAGUUUUAUACACAUUCUCCCAUUUGGAUUUUUCAAAGACAACAUCUAAUCAUCCCCAGAGAAAUUUCAGCUGAGAAGACAGGAUGAUGAAGUGCCCUGGGGGCCAGAGUCCAGACAAGUAUUUUGGCACCUCCAAGGACUCGCAGAACACAGAGAGGAAAAGAGAGACCCUGUUAUCUUUCCGCAGGGGUGGCCGUUCAAACUCUCAGAGAUGGAAGUUAAGAUUUCCUUUGGUAUAAGUGGCAGUUUGACUGGCUGCAAGGAGAGCCUCAGUUUGUUUAAUUUGGAGUAAAAUUUUAUGAGUUAAUCUCUAGUGAGGGAAAGCAGCAGUAAACACAGAACAUACUGGUCAUUAUUCUAAGUAUUUCUACAUUCUUUCUCAUGCAUGAAAGGAGAAAAAAAGUCACAAAAAUGAGGAGGCAUGGUG